UUUUCUUCUUCCCUCUCCGAGAACCUCGAAUGGCGUGGCCCCCAGCUCCUUGUCCAAAACCCCCAACCGGCGCCACCCCCUAACUCGACGAACCUUAACCUCGAACAGCGCAACCCCCUACUCGACAAACCUUAAGUUUCCAAAUCCUUGUCCACUUUUCAAACCCACGGGAAGUUUCCAAAUUCUUCUACACUUUUCGGACCGAUGACAAGUUUCGAAUUUUCCGACAAUCGGCGCCGUUUUAACUCGGAUUUUGCGCAAGUUUUGCGGCCAACGAUUCAGACAGAUUUAAUGGCAAAAUAAAAAAAGAAAAAUCUUGCAGGUCGAAAGUGAAAUGGUUCUCCUCUGACAGAACUUGUGUGUCCGCCUGACGAUGUUUCUUGCCAUCAUUUCGGUCUGUCGUACACGACGAGGUUUCUUUCUAACAUAAGAGGGCGAUUUUCAAGAGAGCACCUACACAAAUUUGAGGAUCCUUGUUUCGGUCAUCUCAUUGACGUGGACGGCAUUGACUGGUUUGGACAGCUGAACCACUACGCUAUAUUUAAGGCUAUAAAGGAUAAAGUGACCAACGAUUCCAUAUCCUUUCUUUUUGGGGAAGAAGUUGCAACAUUCAGGAGUCGGGAAUUCUGUUUGAUUAGUGACCUAAAGUUUGGAGAAUUCCCGCUAGAAGCAAGAGGAAUGUCGUAUACGAGAGAAAGAAGAAGAUUUACCUAAAACAAUUGGAGGACCAACUCAAUGUCUGCCAAAACCAAGAUAAUUUGUACAAGUUGGGGCUAUUGUACUUCGUCCACUUCGUUCUUUUGGGGAAACAGAAGGACUCAAUUUCUAGUACUAUCUGCUUGACUUGGUAGACAACGAAGAAAAGUGGGAGACCUAUCCUUGGGGUUCGGCGUCAUUCCAUUUGUUGAUGCCAACCAUCAGGAUCACUGCUUUGAUCCGGUACACCUUUAUAAAAGAAAAAGGGGUGACUACCUACAAGGAUUCUUAUAACCUGAGGGAGCUUCCCUAUGUCUUCCAGGUAAUUUUAUUUUUCUUUUUUCUUAUAAGUUUAACGUACUUAUACAUUUGUUUCCGUUGUAACUUUUUGAUAGUAUCAAUUUCAAUUUUGCAAAUUACGUUGUUCGAAACCUUGUCGUACGUAAAGACAAAAACAACUCGAGGGUGUGGAUUGAGAUUCCUGAGUUGUUGCCCCGGAUUUUCCCACUAGAUAUGAAAUUCUAAAUCCACCAGAGGAUGACAGUAUUCCUA